rnacentral:rRNA from 1 species
UGAACGCUGGCGGCGUGCCUAACACAUGCAAGUCGAGCGAACAGAUGAGGAGCUUGCUCCUCUGACGUUAGCGGCGGACGGGUGAGUAACACGUGGAUAACCUACCUAUAAGACUGGGAUAACUUCGGGAAACCGGAGCUAAUACCGGAUAAUAUAUUGAACCGCAUGGUUCAAUAGUGAAAGACGGUUUUGCUGUCACUUAUAGAUGGAUCCGCGCCGCAUUAGCUAGUUGGUAAGGUAACGGCUUACCAAGGCAACGAUGCGUAGCCGACCUGAGAGGGUGAUCGGCCACACUGGAACUGAGACACGGUCCAGACUCCUACGGGAGGCAGCAGUAGGGAAUCUUCCGCAAUGGGCGAAAGCCUGACAGAGCAACGCCGCGUGAGUGAUGAAGGUCUUCGGAUCGUAAAACUCUGUUAUUAGGGAAGAACAAAUGUGUAAGUAACUAUGCACGUCUUGACGGUACCUAAUCAGAAAGCCACGGCUAACUACGUG